GAUGAACGCUGACAGAAUGCUUAACACAUGCAAGUCUUUGGCGAAGCUGUGCUUGCACAGCCUAGCCAAGGCGGACGGGUGAGUAACGCGUAAGGAACUUGCCCUGCAGUCAGGGAUAACAGACGGAAACGACUGAUAAGACCUGGUAAAGUCAGGCGGACUCAUGUCCAGCCUGAUGAAAAGAGAUGCUGCAGGAGAGCCUUGCGUCCUAUUAGCUUGUUGGUGGGGUAACGGCCCACCAAGGCGAUGAUAGGUAGCCGGCCUGAGAGGGUGGACGGCCACAAGGGGACUGGGAUACGGCCCUUACUCCUACGGGAGGCAGCAGUGGGGAAUAUUGGACAAUGGGGGCAACCCUGAUCCAGCAAUUCUGUGUGCACGAUGAAGGUUUUCGGAUUGUAAAGUGCUUUCAGCAGGGAAGAAAAAAAUGACGGUACCUGCAGAAGAAGCGACGGCUAAAUACGU
rnacentral:rRNA from 1 species